AUACGGUCCAGACUCCUACGGGAGGCAGCAGUGGGGAAUAUUGCGCAAUGGGCGAAAGCCUGACGCAGCGACGCCGCGUGGGGGAUGAAUGCCUUCGGGUUGUAAACCCCUUUCGGCAGGGACGAAGCGAACGUGACGGUACCUGCAGAAGAAGUCCCGGCUAACUACGUGCCAGCAGCCGCGGUAAGACGUAGGGGACGAGCGUUGUCCGGAUUCAUUGGGCGUAAAGCGCGCGUAGGCGGUUACGCAAGUCGGUUGUGAAAAUCCGGGGCUCAACCCCGGACCUGCAUCCGAUACUGCGUGACUAGAGGUAGGUAGGGGAGAUCGGAAUUCCUGGUGUAGCGGUGAAAUGCGCAGAUAUCAGGAGGAACACCGGUGGCGAAGGCGGAUCUCUGGGCCUUACCUGACGCUAAGGCGCGAAAGCUAGGGGAGCGAACAGGAUUAGAUACCCUGGUAGUCCUAGCCGUAAACGUUGGAUGCUAGGUGUGGGGGGACAUCGACCCCCUCCGUGCCGAAGCUAACGCAUUAAGCAUCCCG
rnacentral:rRNA from 1 species